rnacentral:rRNA from 1 species
CCUACGGGAGGCAGCAGUGAGGAAUAUUGGUCAAUGGACGAGAGUCUGAACCAGCCAAGUAGCGUGAAGGAUGACUGCCCUAUGGGUUGUAAACUUCUUUUAUAUGGGAAUAAAACGUUCCACGUGUGGGAUUUUGUAUGUACCAUAUGAAUAAGGAUCGGCUAACUCCGUGCCAGCAGCCGCGGUAAUACGGAGGAUCCGAGCGUUAUCCGGAUUUAUUGGGUUUAAAGGGAGCGUAGGUGGAUUGUUAAGUCAGUUGUGAAAGUUUGCGGCUCAACCGUAAAAUUGCAGUUGAAACUGGCAGUCUUGAGUACAGUAGAGGUGGGCGGAAUUCGUGGUGUAGCGGUGAAAUGCUUAGAUAUCACGAAGAACCCCGAUUGCGAAGGCAGUUCACUGGACUGCAACUGACACUGAGGCUCGAAAGUGUGGGUAUCAAACAGGAUUAGAUACCCGUGUAGUC